GUGGACUCCGGGCGGGCUCUGAGGGGCCGGCAGCUGGAGGCGGCCUGCUGACCACUCUUCCCUGGAACACCUAUGUGACAACUGUGUCUUUCCGGAUUUUUCUGUCUGCGUUGUGGAACGCUGGCACUGAGCAGCCGUGACGUUCCCUUAUUGUACUCUGCGGUCUCGCGCCUCUGAGGACAGACCGACGCGGCCAAGGCAGAAAACUGAACGUGAACACGGAGCAGCAGCGUUAGCAGAUAUCUGGGAUUUUCUUUCUUUUCCCCCACCAUCACAAACUAUGCAGUCGAGUUUCCUACCUUUGGUGAAAUCGCAGGGGUCAGCACAUCCAGAAUGCAAUGGAAAAGCCUCGCCCUGGGAAAACCACCUUCGUGAUCAUGGUAUCUCCCCUGCCAGUAUUUUGGCCACCACGGGCUGUUUCAGAGCUCAGCUGUUCCUGGAUGGCCCAAGAACAGCCCCCACUCCUCUACUCUCCCAAGAACCAGAAAGGGCAUCAAAGACAUGGGGUCUCCAGUCCACUGCGUCUCACUCCCACAAAAGGCCUGGUUGUGGGGACGGUAUCUGAGGCUGCCACAAGCCAUGCAAACUAGCUGUUCUCCACUUGUGUCCAGCAUGGGUUUCAGACACUCCCUGGGCCAUCAC